rnacentral:lncRNA from 1 species
UGCCUCUGAGUUUUGUAAGCAGCUCUUAACUCAGGGCUUGAGAACUCCCAAAAACAGCCCAAGGCGGGAAUAAAGCGGGACUCCGGCAUCACCUGCACGGCCUAUGCAAUGUGUAACAGUAAACUCACCUGCCGGGAUAAUCGUCUAGGACAGUGGUCUCACCUGCGGGGGAGCCUUUCUCUCUACGGGACUUUCGUCAAUGUCCGGUGACAGUUGUGGCUGUCUCGGCUGGUGAGGGGAGAGGUCAGGGGCGCUGCUCAGCAUCCUACCAGGCCUGGGACAGCCCCCACAACAAAAAACCAUCUGGCCUAAAAGGUCCACGGGGCCAAGGUUGAGAAACCCUACCCUGGAGUCCAGGACAGAACCAUCAGCGAUUUCAUAGCAGGCUAUGAGGUCAGCCGGGUCUAUUUCAAAAAAUAAAAUGCAAACAGUUACAUAGGAACUUCUUUCUCUCCACUGCCUCAGCUGAACUGACAUCUAGCUAACUUUGCUAUGGUCAAGCCAGCUCUCCAAGGAUCUCUCAGCCAGGGCGGACAGAAACGGAUACCCAUGUUACUGCAUGGCCCCUGAACCUGAUGGAGUAUGACCUACUGGGCAGAGCUCAGCUCAGCUACCCCAAGAAGUAAACAGCACAGAGGGAAAGAUAAACCUUCCAGGCUUUCCGAAAGCAAUUAUCAUGUGUGGUUAUCAGAAAAUUUGUAUUCACUAUCCCGGGGGAAGGAAGCAGAGAUACAAAUAAACCCAGAAUUGAUA